rnacentral:rRNA from 1 species
AUGCACGCUGGCGGCGUGCCUCAUACAUGCCAGUCGAGCGAACAGACGAGGAGCUUGCUCCUCUGACGUUAGCGGCGGACGGGUGAGUAACACGUGGAUAACCUACCUAUAAGACUGGGAUAACUUCGGGAAACCGGAGCUAAUACCGGAUAAUAUAUUGAACCGCAUGGUUCAAUAGUGAAAGACGGUUUUGCCGUCACUUAUAGAUGGAUCCGCGCCGCAUUAGCUAGUUGGUAAGGUAACGGCUUACCAAGGCAACGAUGCGUAGCCGACCUGAGAGGGUGAUCGGCCACACUGGAACUGAGACACGGUCCAGACUCCUACGGGAGGCAGCAGUAGGGAAUCUUCCGCAAUGGGCGAAAGCCUGACGGAGCAACGCCGCGUGAGUGAUGAAGGUCUUCGGAUCGUAAAACUCUGUUAUUAGGGAAGAACAAAUGUGUAAGUAACUAUGCACGUCUUGACGGUACCUAAUCAGAAAGCCACGGCUAACUACGUG